AAACACCUUCAUUUAUUUUUGAAAUCAGAACACAAUUUUUUGCUAAGGUUCCUUCCACAGGAAGGAAGAAUCACCAUCAGAUUUGGUGUCCAGCAGCGUGCGAAACCAUUCCCGACUCUGCUGCUGUAAAUACUCGACCACCUAUUGAAGAGUUUGAGCUGGUCGUACGGAGAAGAAGACCCCGGAUGAUGUGGAGGCUGGGCGCAAGGGUCUCUCGUGUGAGACCAACUUACUGGUGCCUCUCUAGCUUGUUUGGCAUUCACAAAAGGCUGAAACAACUUUGGGUGUAUUGGGCCUUGCCUUUUGGGCUUAUUUAGGCUAAUUUUUAUUGGAUUUUGGAGAUUUAGAAUUUGGGUCAGACAUUAUGUAAUUGGGCUAAAGAGUUUUGGGAUAUUCGGUUAGAAAAUAGGUUUAUUUUAUUUUUGGUCCAAAUAUUUGUAACCAGACAUUGGACUUUUAAUUUUGGAUUUUUAUUA